GCCUUAUCAGUAUGGCGGUUUUGACACUCGGCUUGUAAUCGAGUGGGCUUCGGGUUCGAAUCCCAAAUAAGGCU